GGGGCUGUAGCUCAGUCGGUUAGAGCAUCGGACUCAUAAUCCGCCGGUCCCGGGUUCAAGCCCCGGUGGCCCCA
rnacentral:tRNA from 1 species